rnacentral:rRNA from 1 species
CCUACGGGUGGCAGCAGUGAGGAAUAUUGGUCAAUGGUCGGGAGCCUGAACCAGCCAAGCCGCGUGAGGGAGGAAGGUCCUGAGUAUCGUAAACCUCUUUUGUCAGGGAAUAAAGACAGGGACGCGUCCCCGUUUGAGUGUACUUUAAGAAAAAGGAUCGGCUAACUCCGUGCCAGCAGCCGCGGUAAUACAGAGGUUUCAAGCGUUGUUCGGAUUUACUGGGCGUAAAGGGUGCGUAGACGGGUUCGUAAGUCGUGUGUGAAAGGGUGCGGCUCAACCGGAAGACUGCAAAUGAUACUGGCAGACUAGAGUACAGGUGGGGUAGCCGGAAUUCUCGGUGUAGCAGUGAAAUGCGUAGAUAUCGAGAGGAACUCUCAUGGCGAAGGCGGGUUACUGGACAUUAACUGACGCUGAGGCACGAAGGCCAGGGGAGCGAAAGGGAUUAGAUACCCGGGUAGUC